CGGACGGGUGAGUAACACGUGGAUAACCUACCUAUAAGACUGGGAUAACUUCGGGAAACCGGAGCUAAUACCGGAUAACAUGUUGAACCGCAUGGUUCAACAGUGAAAGACGGUCUUGCUGUCACUUAUAGCUGGAUCCGCGCCGCAUUAGCUAGUUGGUAAGGUAACGGCUUACCAAGGCAACGAUGCGUAGCCGACCUGAGAGGGUGAUCGGCCACACUGGAACUGAGACACGGUCCAG
rnacentral:rRNA from 1 species